CUGGGUCAGUGUGGACAGGUAUGGUACCACUGUUCUGGGUCAGUGUGGACAGGUAUGGUACCACUGUUCUGGGUCAGUGUGGACAGGUAUGACUGUCCUGGGUCAGUGUGGACAGGUAUGGUACCACUGUCCUGGGUCAGUGUGGACAGGUAUGGUACCACUGUCCUGGGUCAGUGUGGACAGGUAUGGUACCACUGUCCUGGGUCAGUGUGGACAGGUAUGGUACCACUGUUCUGGGUCAGUGUGGACAGGUAUGGUACCACUGUCCUGGG